UCCAUACUUUGGUCUUCCUUCUUGAGAUUCAUGUGCUUUGCAAAUUGUAUCUUGGGUAUUCUGAGCUUCUGGGCUAAUAUCCACUUAUCAGUGAGUGCAUAUCAUGUGUGUUCUCUUGUUGUUGGGUUAUCUCACUGAGGAGGAAUGACCAUCCAGAGACUGCCCCACUUGAGGAUCAAUCCCAUAAACACCAACCAAACCCAGACACUAUUGCAGAUGCCAACAAGAGCUUGCUGACAGGAGCCUGAUAUAGCUGUCUCUUGAGAGGCUCUGCCAGUGCCUGACAAAUACAGAAGUGGAUGCUCAGAGUCAUCCAUUAGAUGGAGCACAGGGUCACCAGUGAAGGAGCUAGAGAAAGUACCCAAGGAGCUGAAGGGAUUUGCAGCCACCUAGGAGAAACAACAAUAUGAACUAACCAGUAACCACAGAGCACCCUGGGACUAAACCACUACCAAUCAUAGAAAACACAAGGAGGGACUUAUGGCUCUAGCUGCAUAUGUAGCAAAGAAUGGGAGGAGGGGACCUUGGUCCUGUGAAGGUUCUAUGCUCUAGUUUAGGGGAUUGCCAGGGCCAGGAAGCAGGAGGGGAUGGGUUGGUAGGCAAGGGGAGGAGAGGUACAUAGGGGAUUUUUGGAGGAGAAACUGGGAAAGGGGAUAACAUUUGAAAUGUAAAUAAAGAAAAUAUGUGUUAAAAAUCCAACUAAAGAAGUUCCAAUUACAUGUAUGAGACACAGAAAAAUAAGAUGUGCUGAAAAAACAGGGAGUGUCAGAGUAGGAGAGAAGUCAGUACCAUUGGUAGGGAACCAGGGUCACUGGGAUAAAACUUGGUGUCAAUAGCCUGAAAGCAUUGUUGCAUCCUGAAGAACAUUUCCUCCUCUAACAGACAAUACUUCUUACAUUUGGUUAGUUGGAGCUUUCCUUUAUUUCAUAACAAAGGCCUGCGAAUUACAGCAAGUUUAGCUGUAAUAAUCUUUGUUUUCCUAGAAAUAGGGGAGGGGAAAUUUCAGGGCUGUGGUGUUAUUAUAGCUCAUUCUCAUUCUUAGAGUAAAACCAACAGUUUUCUUUUCUUUUUUUUUAAAUGAAUAUAUAUAUAUAUAUUUUCAUAUCUUAAAACAUGAAAAUCAGGAGUAAGAUCCAACAGGAGUUUUAGGUUUGUUCUUGCCUGCUAUUUCUGUAAAUGAAAAUUAAAAAUCCUUCCCAUAGUUGAGCUGCAUUUAAAAGCCAACUGGAAAAAGCCCAAGGAGCUGGGAAAAAUCCUCUGACCUUGGCCAGGUGCACAAUUAUUUUGCAAAUGAAAUGGUUUGGUGUGUGACUUUUUAAAUGAGACCAUAUUUGCAUGAAGUUGUAAUGUGACUUCUGAGAAACACCACUUGAACCUGACCCUGGGGUUAACCCAGUGCCAGUUAGUUUAUAACAACAACACAUACCUGUUAGUCUGGAGUGUAUGAUUGACAAAUACUACACUACAUUUUAAAACUUUUCUGUUCAGUUUAUUGCUUUCUUUUAAACUAAUAUACUAGCAACAUUCCUUCAAGGUGAUUUCUCUCUAUUAAUUCUGUUAAUAUUGAGUAUUAUAGACAGGAGGAUGCAGUUUUAAACAGUGGAGAGGCUUUUCCUUAGUGCUUUUUAUAAUUAAUCUCAGGUUACCCAAAAUGACUUCUUGCUAACUUAUCUAUGAAUGUUUGGAGUAUCUAUUUAAAUGUGCUUUAACCUUAUUAAAAUCGAAAAGACUAUUUCUAUCUGUAGGUGAUUUCCUCCUCUAUGGGAGGAGAGGGUUAGCCACUGUUGAUGUGGUGUUUACAAACUGCCCAGUGGCCUGGCUUCACCUACCCAGGGAUGGUGCAUGCCUAUAAAACUUGUAUAUAUCUGACUAUUCUCUUUCUGUCUCUGAAAUACUUGUAUUCUCAGAAAUACAAGUAUUUCUAGUGAACUGCUCGUUAAACUGGUAUUUUUCACCAUAACAAGACAGUUUGGUUGCAGAUCCCUCAAAUAUCAAUGACUCAAUUAAAUCAGCCACUCUAAUUUUAGCUGGUGCAGACAUAUAGCAGCCCUCCAUGACCCAAUUAACCACAGUGAGUAGAACAACUUGGGGGUGAUAUUUCUGCCACACUGAGUUCUGGGCGGAAGCAGCCAGGUGACUUAAUCACGAAAGACACCUUGUCUCAUAGCAAACAGCACCUGAUGGCUGUUGCCCUCGAGGUACAAGGGAAAGCAGUGAUUGCCAGUGGUCUGCAUUUGUAUACUACAGCAGAUUUCUUUCUCAGAACAGAACAAACUUGAAAGGUACUAGUAUGCAGAAUCCAAAACUACCCAGAAAUCUGUCCUCAGUCUAAAGUGAGCUGGAUAUAUGUUCAUCACGGGUUGAGGUUCUACUCUGAAUGACAUGAAAUCUCUUCUGAAUAAUUCCAGUUUAUUUCACUAUCAAGGCAUCUCAGUUAUGAAAUAUAAAGCUGCUCUCAAGUGGGUGGGGGUACCUGAUGGGCCCAUGCCAAGGGACCCACUGAGAAAUAACACCAUGUGGCAGACCUGGUAGAAGGGAGAUUUAUUUUGGUGAAGGGACAGGAAUGAGAACCUGGAGAAGGGGUAGAGGUAGACAGACAGAAGCAGAGCCUUGAGGGCAGAGAAGUAGGGGACAGUGAAGAACAGAAAGAAGGAUAGAAAGAGAAGAUGGACUGGAAUAUGAAUAUGUGAAAAUUUCACACAAAGAGGGGGGAGAGAGAGAGAGAGAGAGAGAGAGAGAGAGAGAGAGAGAGAGAGAGAGAGAGAGAGCAAGAUGAUCAGCAGUCUUGUUUUAAAUGCCAGGCCACCUGCACUUGGCAGGCAGCAUGUGAGCAGAUGAUAAUAUAAGCUGUUGCUAGGUCCCUGAGAUUCCUUUGUGGAAUCGCCUGUCAGCUACCAAUAACUAUUAGUAGUAUUCUCUGUUACUUUCCAAAUUGCCAUUUGAAAUACAAACCACAGGACGUAUGAUUUAAGAUCCUCUGACCAAGAGGAAAUAUUGGAACCAAGCAGAUAGAUCCUCAAAAACAAUACUUCAAACAAAGGGCCCUGUUUUAGUAGUAAAGUUCUAAUCAGAGACUCUGGAAGAGUUGAAGCUUCAGUAAAGUGGUUGAGUUGAUGUUAGACUGCUUUCCUGAAGGUGUAGCUAUCUCCCUGGACAAUGCUUCUGAAGCAGUCUCAUUGUUCUAGAAAUGCAAGAGGUAAUAUCUAAAAUACAAACUCUAAAGCCUCACUGAAGACCAGCACAGUGAGUCUCUUAGGGUUGGUAUGGGAUAAGAAAAGAUUUUUGGUGAAUUCCAACUCUAAUGUGCAACCAUAAUUUUGAGAGAGAUGGGUUAGGCUUGGGGCAUCACUCAGAAGAAAAUAGCUAUCUUCUAAAGUUUAGGGAAAGUGAGGGGGUUGCUUAUAAAUUAUAGGAAAACACAUACAUUCACAUGUUUUGGGUACUUAAAAGAAAAGUAGAGGCUGUUUGUCAUAAGCUGGUUUUGGUGAUUUAAAUCACAAUUGAUUUUGCAUUAAAUCCUGUUAAUUUGUUCAUCAGAUCCUUAGUAUAAUAGAAAUACCAUUAUAAUAUACCAAGGCUCAUUGGUGAGCUAAACCCUAAAAGUUUUCAUAGUUUAAAUUAAGGAAAGAGUUUCUGUGGGAAAAUAUCAUUCCAGAUGAGUGAUCAUGUGCUAUUUGUUGUUCUUCGGGGGUCAUUGGCUUAAAUAGGCUAUAAGCAAUGUUGGAGAAGUGGAAGAAAAAAAGGAUAUUAUGUAUGUAUGUAUGUAUGUAUGUAUGUAUGUAUAUAUGUAUGUAUGUAUGUAUAUAUGUAUAUAUGUAUGUAUAUGUGUGUGUUUGUGUGUAUUCAUAUAUAUUGUUUGCAUGGUUGUUAAUAUAUUUUAAGUGUGGGGUGCUACUAAAAUAUCAUUAUUUAUAUUCAAAUUUUGUUGUGACUCCACAGUACUUGCAAGAACAUCAUUUUCAAAAGCAAAAACCUUCCUCUGGUAGUUCAAGGAGCCUAGAGCAGUAUAGUGCCCUCAUAGUAGUCUAAAAUUGUGUUUGUGAUUUGGGUUACUGAAGGAAAAAUAUAAUCCACUUCUCUUUCUUAAGUGGUUUUUUAGUAAAUGAAGCUGUUUUCAUCGAGCUCAAAUUUCUGCUAACCAAUAAUCUGUGAUAAAUUUGUGUGUGUGUGUGUGUGUGUGUGUGUGUGUGUGUGUGUGUGCGCGUGCACGCGCAUGUUUUAUGUGUUUAAACUUUCAAAAUAGCAAUGAUAGAAUUUUGGUUUUGGAUAAAAUUAUGAAAUUCUUAGGCAAAUGGCUGGAUCUGGAGGAUAUCAUCCUGAAUGAGGUAACCCAGUCAUAAAAGAACACACAUGAUAUGCACUCACUGAUAAGUGGAUAUUAGCCCAGAAGCUUGGAAUACCCAAGAUGCAAUUCACAAACCACAUGAAACUCAAGAGGAAGGAAGACAACAGUGUGGAUAUGAUCCUUCUUAGAAGGGGGAACAAAAUACCCAUGGAAGGAGUUACAGAGACAAAGUGUGGAGCAGAAACUGACAGAAUGAACAUCGAGAAACUGCCCCUCUUGGGGAUCCAUCUCAUAUACAAUUACUAAACCCAGACACUAUUAUGGAUGCCAACAACUGCUUGCUGACAGGAAUCUGAUAUAGCUGUCUCCUGAGAGGCUCUGCCAGUGCCUGACAAAUAAAGAAGAUGCUCACAGCCAUUUGGGGGACUGAGCACUGGGUACCCAAUGAAGGAGCUAGAGAGAGGACUCAAGGAGUUGAGGGGGUUUGCAUCCCCAUAGGAGGAACAACAAUAUUAACUAACCAGUACCUCCAGAGCUCCCAGGGACUAAACCACCAACCAAAGAGUACACAUUGUUGGACUCAUGGCUCCAGCUGGAUAUGUAGCAGAGGACGGCCUAGUCGGAUAUCAAUGGGAGAAGAGACCCUUAGUCCCAUGAAGGCUCUAAGCCCCAGUGUAGGGGAAUGCCAGGGUCAGGAAGAAGGAAUAGGUGGGUUGGUGAUCAGGGGGAGGGUGGAGGAGAUAGGGGGAGGGAAUUUUCUGGGGGGGGGUUCUGGGGAAAACCAGAAAAGGGGAUAACAUUUAAUAUGUAAAUAAAGCAACUAUCCAAUAAAGUCAGAAAAAAGGAAAAAUAUUACAUACAUAUACAUAGCUCAUAUGAUGAAGGGGCAAACAUUAUUAAAAAUAAAACCAAGGAAGAAAUACAAUUCAUUUCCUAAGGGGGAAAUGAUAUAUUUAAAGACAAUAUAUUAGAAAGAUUUGUCUAGAGAGCAAGACAGCUUAGUGUAUCAAGAUGUUUGCUACUCUGCAUGAAGUCCUGCAUUUGAUACUCAGUACCCACAUUGUGCAAAGAAGUAACCUUUUUUCUUUUAUUAUUUCCCUCUUGCUUCUGUAUACAAAUACACCACA